GAUGAACGCUAGCGACAGGCUUAACACAUGCAAGUCGAGGGGCAGCACAGGUAGCAAUACCGGGUGGCGACCGGCGCACGGGUGAGUAACGCGUAUGCAACUUACCUAUCAGAGGGGGAUAACCCGGCGAAAGUCGGACUAAUACCGCAUGAAGCAGGGGCCCCGCAUGGGGAUAUUUGCUAAAGAUUCAUCGCUGAUAGAUAGGCAUGCGUUCCAUUAGGCAGUUGGCGGGGUAACGGCCCACCAAACCGACGAUGGAUAGGGGUUCUGAGAGGAAGGUCCCCCACAUUGGUACUGAGACACGGACCAAACUCCUACGGGAGGCAGCAGUGAGGAAUAUUGGUCAAUGGCCGAGAGGCUGAACCAGCCAAGUCGCGUGAGGGAUGAAGGUUCUAUGGAUCGUAAACCUCUUUUAUAAGGGAAUAAAGUGCGGGACGUGUCCCGUUUUGUAUGUACCUUAUGAAUAAGGAUCGGCUAACUCCGUGCCAGCAGCCGCGGUAAUACGGAGGAUCCGAGCGUUAUCCGGAUUUAUUGGGUUUAAAGGGUGCGUAGGCGGCCUUUUAAGUCAGCGGUGAAAGUCUGUGGCUCAACCAUAGAAUUGCCGUUGAAACUGGGGGGCUUGAGUAUGUUUGAGGCAGGCGGAAUGCGUGGUGUAGCGGUGAAAUGCAUAGAUAUCACGCAGAACCCCGAUUGCGAAGGCAGCCUGCCAAGCCAUUACUGACGCUGAUGCACGAAAGCGUGGGGAUCAAACAGGAUUAGAUACCCUGGUAGUCCACGCAGUAAACGAUGAUCACUAGCUGUUUGCGAUACACUGUAAGCGGCACAGCGAAAGCGUUAAGUGAUCCACCUGGGGAGUACGCCGGCAACGGUGAAACUCAAAGGAAUUGACGGGGGCCCGCACAAGCGGAGGAACAUGCGGUUUAAUUCGAUGAUACGCGAGGAACCUUACCCGGGUUUGAACGCAUUCGGACCGAGGUGGAAACACCUUUUCUAGCAAUAGCCGUUUGCGAGGUGCUGCAUGGUUGUCGUCAGCUCGUGCCGUGAGGUGUCGGCUUAAGUGCCAUAACGAGCGCAACCCUUGCCACUAGUUACUAACAGGUAAAGCUGAGGACUCUGGUGGGACUGCCAGCGUAAGCUGCGAGGAAGGCGGGGAUGACGUCAAAUCAGCACGGCCCUUACAUCCGGGGCGACACACGUGUUACAAUGGCGUGGACAAAGGGAAGCCACCUGGCGACAGGGAGCGAAUCCCCAAACCACGUCUCAGUUCGGAUCGGAGUCUGCAACCCGACUCCGUGAAGUUGGAAUCGCUAGUAAUCGCGGAUCAGCAUGCCGCGGUGAAUACGUUCCCGGGCCUUGUACACACCGCCCGUCACACCAUGAGAGUCGGGAACACCCGAAGUCCGUAGCCUAACAGCAAUGGGGGCGCGGCCGAAGGUGGG
rnacentral:rRNA from 1 species